GUCCCAGCCGCCGCGGUAAUACGGAGGGUGCGAGCGUUAAUCGGAAUUACUGGGCGUAAAGCGCAUGCAGGUGGUUUGUUAAGUCAGAUGUGAAAGCCCGGGGCUCAACCUCGGAAUUGCAUUUGAAACUGGCAGACUAGAGUACUGUAGAGGGGGGUAGAAUUUCAGGUGUAGCGGUGAAAUGCGUAGAGAUCUGAAGGAAUACCGGUGGCGAAGGCGGCUCCCUGGACAGAUACUGACACUCAGAUGCGAAAGCGUGGGGAGCAAACAGGAUUAGAUACCCUGGUAGUCCACGCCGUAAACGAUGUCUACUUGGAGGUUGUGGCCUUGAGCCGUGGCUUUCGGAGCUAACGCGUUAAGUAGACCGCCUGGGGAGUACGGUCGCAAGAUUAAAACUCAAAUGAAUUGACGGGGGCCCGCACAAGCGGUGGAGCAUGUGGUUUAAUUCGAUGCAACGCGAAGAACCUUACCUACUCUUGACAUCCAGAGAACUUUCCAGAGAUGGAUUGGUGCCUUCGGGAGCUCUGAGACAGGUGCUGCAUGGCUGUCGUCAGCUCGUGUUGUGAAAUGUUGGGUUAAGUCCCGCAACGAGCGCAACCCUUAUCCUUGUUUGCCAGCGAGUAAUGUCGGGAACUCCAGGGAGACUGCCGGUGAUAAACCGGAGGAAGGUGGGGACGACGUCAAGUCAUCAUGGCCCUUACGAGUAGGGCUACACACGUGCUACAACGGCGCAUACAGAGGGCAGCCAACUUGCGAAAGUGAGCGAAUCCCAAAAAGUGCGUCGUAGUCCGGAUUGGAGUCUGCAACUCGACUCCAUGAAGUCGGAAUCGCUAGUAAUCGUGGAUCAGAAUGCCACGGUGAAUACGUUCCCGGGCCUUGUACACACCGCCCGUCACACCAUGGGAGUGGGCUGCAAAAGAAGUAGGUAGUUUAACCUUCGGGGGGACGCUUACCACUUUGUGGUUCAUGACUGGGGUGAAGUCGUAACAAGGUAACC
rnacentral:rRNA from 1 species